AACGAUGAUGCCCAGCUUGCUGGGUGGAUUAGUGGCGAACGGGUGAGUAACACGUGAGUAACCUGCCCUUGACUCUGGGAUAAGCCUGGGAAACUGGGUCUAAUACCGGAUAUGACUGCUCCGCGCAUGCGGUGGUGGUGGAAAGCUUUUGCGGUUUUGGAUGGACUCGCGGCCUAUCAGCUUGUUGGUGGGGUAAUGGCCUACCAAGGCGACGACGGGUAGCCGGCCUGAGAGGGUGACCGGCCACACUGGGACUGAGACACGGCCCAGACUCCUACGGGAGGCAGCAGUGGGGAAUAUUGCACAAUGGGCGAAAGCCUGAUGCAGCGACGCCGCGUGAGGGAUGACGGCCUUCGGGUUGUAAACCUCUUUCAGUAGGGAAGAAGCCUUCGGGUGACGGUACCUGCAGAAGAAGCGCCGGCUAACUACGUGCCAGCAGCCGCGGUAAUACGUAGGGCGCAAGCGUUAUCCGGAAUUAUUGGGCGUAAAGAGCUCGUAGGCGGUUUGUCGCGUCUGCUGUGAAAGACCGGGGCUCAACUCCGGUUCUGCAGUGGGUACGGGCAGACUAGAGUGAUGUAGGGGAGACUGGAAUUCCUGGUGUAGCGGUGAAAUGCGCAGAUAUCAGGAGGAACACCGAUGGCGAAGGCAGGUCUCUGGGCAUUAACUGACGCUGAGGAGCGAAAGCAUGGGGAGCGAACAGGAUUAGAUACCCUGGUAGUCCAUGCCGUAAACGUUGGGCACUAGGUGUGGGGGACAUUCCACGUUUUCCGCGCCGUAGCUAACGCAUUAAGUGCCCCGCCUGGGGAGUACGGCCGCAAGGCUAAAACUCAAAGGAAUUGACGGGGGCCCGCACAAGCGGCGGAGCAUGCGGAUUAAUUCGAUGCAACGCGAAGAACCUUACCAAGGCUUGACAUGGACUAGUAAAGCGCAAAAAUGUGCUCCCCUCUUGAGGCUGGUUUACAG
rnacentral:rRNA from 1 species